rnacentral:rRNA from 1 species
UACGGGGGGGGCAAGCGUUGUUCGGAAUUACGGGGCGUAAAGGGCUCGUAGGCGGCCAACUAAGUCGGAUGUGAAAUCCCCAGGCUUAACCUGGGAACUGCAUCCGAUACUGGAUGGCUUGAAUCCGGGAGAGGGAUGCAGAAUUCCAGGUGUAGCGGUGAAAUGCGUAGAUAUCUGGAGGAAUACCGGUGGCGAAGGCGGCAUCCUGGACCAUUACUGACGCUGAGGCGCGAAAGCUAGGGGAGCAAACGGG